UUCGAUGCUCGAUCUCAUCGGUAACUCCCAAAUCACCUUCUUUGGCAAAUUACCAGCAAACUCUUAAAGACCCAAAUCACCUUCUUUGGCAAAUCACCAGCAAAUUCUUAAAGAAAAUUCCCAAAUCAUCUCAUUGCUGUUGGAAUGGGUUCGUUUUUAUUUUUUUUGUCUUUUACCUCAAUGAGUUUCCUUUAUUAAAUCCAAAGCUGGAAUCGACAAUCAUAGCAACCCAGCAAACUCUUAAACCCAUGUCCUAAAUUCCCAAAUCCCUAAAUUCAUUUGUUAACCAAAAAUCCCCAAUCUCGAUUGGUAACCCAAAACUCCCAAAUCCUCAAAGUUCCAAACUCCAUUUGUUUCGCUCGAAGGAUUUGAAGAACAGCGAUUACAGGUGAAAAAAAAUAUUUCAAUCGCGAGAAAGUUUUGACCCAAAAAGCAAUCAGUGAGAAAUCAACUUCAGGUA
rnacentral:lncRNA from 1 species